GACAAACGCUGGCGGCAUGCCUAACACAUGCCAGUCGAACGGACAGAACAGGGAAGCUUUUCGGAGUGGAACUGGAAAGUUAGUGGCGGAUGGGUGAGUAACGCGUGGACAACCUACCUUGUAAAGGGGAAUAACCUCGAGAAAUCGAAGCUAAUACCCCAUAAUAACCUUGCUUCGCAUGAAGUAAGGAGGAAAGGCGGCCUUAGCGCUGUCGAUACAAGAUGGGUCCGCGUCUGAUUAGCUAGUUGGUGAGGUAAAGGCUCACCAAGGCGACGAUCAGUAGCCGGCCUGAGAGGGUGAACGGCCACAUUGGGACUGAGACACGGCCCAAACUCCUACGGGAGGCAGCAGUGGGGAAUCUUCCGCAAUGGGCGAAAGCCUGACGGAGCAAUGCCGCGUGAGUGAAGAAGGCCUUCGGGUUGUAAAACUCUGUCCUUAUCGAAGAGAGAGUGUUGUAGUAACUGUCAAUACUAGGACGGUAGAUGAGGAGGAAGCCCCGGCUAACUAUGUG
rnacentral:rRNA from 1 species